AAUUAAAGAGAUUUUAAGAGUUAUUUAGAGGGGUGUCAAUAGUCCCACUCGAAUAAAUAUUGUAUUUGUCUUAUCAGCAGCCUCCGGAAUCUUCUUUUGUCAGCAGCCUCUGGAAUCACAAUCUUUCAAAGAGUAACAUGCAUGAAAAGCCUCAUUCAUCUGGAGUCAAAGCUAUAAGAUUAGGGGUGGGGCCGGUGUCGAAAAAUACAUUAAAAAAUUAACUUCUCUGAUUUGCAGGCCCUUCAUUGGCAGAAAGAUUAUAUAUAUAUAUAUGGACAAGGCUACGUUCCAGACUCUGUAACAGCUCAGUGCAAACUGGCCUUGCAUCAGCUGAGUUUGGGUUACUUUUCCUCUCUUCUGCAACGCAUGGAACACCCCCAUUUGCUGUGUUCAUAUAUAUAUAUAUAUAUAUAUGAACCUGAAAUUAAAAAGAAAAAAAAAGGCUUUAUAAAUGUUUUCGGUUACAGCUCUUUGUAAGUUGCCUUUAUAGCAACUGAGACCAUGUUUGGAUGUCAGGAUUA
rnacentral:lncRNA from 1 species